rnacentral:lncRNA from 1 species
AUUAGUUUAAUAAUUUAAGAGUAAACUUCAAAUACCACUCCUGUGGCUUCGUGCUUUCUAACUUUAGUACCCUAUGGUUUAAAGUGUAUCAGUUAGUAUCUUGUGAUUUUAUUUUUAUUUUUCGUGAGUUUUUCCGUUAAUAUUUUGUUAAAUUAUAUACAAAAAACUUCAGAUACCUCAUCUAGAUUUAUCGAAUAUUCACUUUAGUACCAUUUGGUUUUAACUUUGCCACUGAUUUAACAGAAAAAAAAUUAGUAGAAUUGAUAAUAAAAGGAUAAAAAUAAAAUCAUAGGGCAUUAAAUUGAUACACUUUAAAUCACAGGGUAUUAAAGUGAAAAAGUGUGAAACCACAGGGGUAGAAUUUGAAGCUUUUCCAUAAUUUAAUUAACAACAUUCAGCCUAAACAUCUAAUCCCGAAAAAUUAUUUUAAACAUUUCGCACUACUACUUAA